AUUUCAAGAGUACCCAGAUGCAGCGCCAAGAUGGCGGACCCAAAGAUAAAAAACCACAUUUACAAAACGCAAUAAGUUUCCGCAUUACCUCCGAUUGGCGGACCCAAAACAUGAACUUUGAACUUCUGCUUUGCGAUGCCAGAACAGUAGGUGGCGGUAUGCACCUACACUUUCUGACGGCAAAAUUUACAGAAGAAGAAGAACUCUCAGGAAGUUUGAAAAGAAGCAAGCCGUCCGCAUUCAUUCAAUCUCACCUCCGACCCACUCAAACUAACCCUAACCCUGCAUUCCAUUGUUUCCAUCAUGGGAAAUCUAAGUGACGCUCUCAAAUUAACAGGAACAUUGCGCAGAAGAUAUGUCCUGGGCAAUGGACUGAGAAAACGGGCAGAGAUUUAGAGGUAUUUGUGCAUGCUCUAUAUUACAGUUGAAAAGUGUAUAACAGCUUUCCAAUGCUGUUACUUGUGGCGAACACCUUUUUGCUUGAGUUGAUGCGUGCCCGCAGGUGGAAUAAUGUCACAUGUCACACACAUUUUCUGUUGUUUUGAUUUAU